AUCUGGCAUUCCAUAAUCAAGUCAGAGAAUGAAGGAGCAGCUCUCCUGACAAAACCACCAAUUAUCUUUCUUACAUAUUCACACUUGAGAGAGAUUUCUAGUUUCUCUACCUUUUCUUUUUAGAACUCCCAUAAGCUAUUCGCUAAAGCUCCCAUUUUCCAAUUUAUGGUUUUAAUGAGGUAUUUAGGUCUGGAUUCCUGAUAUUUUAUAAUCAUUCAACAUUUUUUGAAACCUAAGAGAUAAAUUACAUUGUAGGUUAUCUGCAAUUAAAAAAGGUACACAAUUUUAUUUGACAAUACACAAAGCCUAUUCCUAUCUGCACAAUAACAAUAUCAAAAAAUUGGAUUGUUGCUCAAAACUUCAACUCCAGGCUUCAAAUUAAUGGAGCCCAAGAAGAAAAGUGAACAGCAAAUGGGUGGAAAAAAUAGAGGGAAAAAUAACUCUUCAAAAACAUCCAGAUAUAAAAACCAUAAGAAAACAUUCUUCGGAGUAUGAAUCACACUGCUCUAGACUCCAUUGUCUUCUAAGGGCAACUCCUCAGAAAGCUCUUACAAAGCCCCAAUAAGAAAUUGGCAGGGAAGUCAUAAUAGUAUCUGAUUCAGAAAACUGAUCCAAGAAUAAAAUUUCAUUUCCUCUCCGACAUUGAAUACAUGUGACAAUAGCUCAGGUCAGAUAUACAUAUGUGAAGAUGCACAAUUGCUGUGAAAUUAUGUCACCAAGUUUCA
rnacentral:misc_RNA from 1 species